rnacentral:rRNA from 1 species
AGUGAACGCUGGCGGUAGGCCUAACACAUGCAAGUCGAACGGCAGCACAGGAGAGCUUGCUCUCUGGGUGGCGAGUGGCGGACGGGUGAGGAAUACAUCGGAAUCUACUCUGUCGUGGGGGAUAACGUAGGGAAACUUACGCUAAUACCGCAUACGACCUACGGGUGAAAGCAGGGGACCUUCGGGCCUUGCGCGAUUGAAUGAGCCGAUGUCGGAUUAGCUAGUUGGCGGGGUAAAGGCCCACCAAGGCGACGAUCCGUAGCUGGUCUGAGGGGAUGAUCAGCCACACUGGAACUGAGACAGGGUCCAGACUCCGACGGGAGGCAGCAGUGGGGAAUAUUGGACAAUGGGCGCAAGCCUGAUCCAGCCAUACCGCGUGGGUGAAGAAGGCCUUCGGGUUGUAAAGCCCUUUUGUUGGGAAAGAAAUCCAGCCGGCUAAUACCCGGUUGGGAUGACGGUACCCAAAGAAUAAGCACCGGCUAACUUCGUGCCAGCCGCCGCGGUAA